AGGCCCUGCACCCUCCAGUGACCAGGAGCCACCUGUCCAUGCCCCAAGACCAGAAAGGCAACAGGAACCACUGGGAGCACAGGGCUGUCUUCGGUGUGCCGAGCUGGAGAGAGAGACAGACGACCUGAAAGAGCGAUUAGGUAAGAUGAAUCCCAGGCUGGGGCUGGGGCA